rnacentral:tRNA from 1 species
GGGCCCGUAGCUCAACUGGUAGAGCGUCGCCAUGGCAUGGCGAAGGUCGUCGGUUCGACUCCGAUCGGGUCCA